AUUGAACGCUGGCGGCAUGCCUUACACAUGCAAGUCGAACGGUAACAGGUCUUCGGAUGCUGACGAGUGGCGAACGGGUGAGUAAUACAUCGGAACGUGCCCGAGAGUGGGGGAUAACGAGGCGAAAGCUUUGCUAAUACCGCAUACGAUCUCAGGAUGAAAGCAGGGGACCGCAAGGCCUUGCGCUCACGGAGCGGCCGAUGGCAGAUUAGGUAGUUGGUGGGAUAAAAGCUUACCAAGCCGACGAUCUGUAGCUGGUCUGAGAGGACGACCAGCCACACUGGGACUGAGACACGGCCCAGACUCCUACGGGAGGCAGCAGUGGGGAAUUUUGGACAAUGGGCGCAAGCCUGAUCCAGCCAUGCCGCGUGCAGGAUGAAGGCCUUCGGGUUGUAAUCUGCUUUUGUACGGAACGAAAAGACUCCUUCUAAUAAAGGGGGUCCAUGACGGUACCGUAAGAAUAAGCACCGGCUAACUACGUGCCAGCCGCCGCAGUAAUAC
rnacentral:rRNA from 1 species